CGGGAGGCAGCAGUGGGGAAUCUUCCGCAAUGGGCGAAAGCCUGACGGAGCGACGCCGCGUGAGCGAAGAAGGCCUUCGGGUCGUAAAGCUCGAUAGUGUGGGAAGAAGGAAUGACGGUACCACACGA
rnacentral:rRNA from 1 species